rnacentral:rRNA from 1 species
CCCUUAGUAACGGCGAGCGAAAAGGGAAGAGUCCAGCGCCGAAUCCCGCACUCUUUGGGUGCCGGGAAAUGUGGCGUUUGGGAGUGAGCGUGCCGGAGGUUGACCAAGCAGCAAGUCCCCCUGACCGGGGCUCUUUCCCAAAGUGGGUGCGAGGCCCAUAGCUGCCAGGUCUCUUCCGGAUGCGAUCUCCUCGGAGUCGGGUUGCUUGGGAAUGCAGCCCUAAGUGGGAGGUAAACUCCUCCUAAGACUAAAUACUGCCGUGAGACCGAUAGCAAACAAGUACCGUGAGGGAAAGUUGCAAAGAACUUUGAAGAGAGAGUUCAAGAGUACGUGAAACUGCUCAGAGGAAAACGGGUGGGCCCUCGAAAUCCUGUGGUGGGAGGAUUCAGUCGAGGGGUCGAGAGGCGUAGCCGAGGCGUUGACAGAAUGGAUCCCGCGACCGGGCCUCCUCAGCUGCGCCCUUCUUGACCCACCGACGCAUUUCUUUCCCGCCCGAAGGACGCCGCAACGGGUUGGCGGGACGGCCUUAAGGACGGGAGCCGGCAGGUGGCCGGGGGUCCUCCCUCGUGGAGGCCCCUGGUUGUUAGCCUUUCCGUCGCACGGCCGUACCCCGACCCUGGUGACGCGAGGCCCGCAUGGGCUUCUCCGCCUCCUCCGAAAGGUUGCGAGUAGACGUGGCAGGUGAGGCCGCGCGUUUGCGGGCACACGGACUGACGCCGUGGCCCAGCGACACGCGGUCCCCGUUGGCUGCGCGGGGCUCGUCGGAGU